AUUGAACGCUGGCGGCAUGCCUUACACAUGCAAGUCGAACGGUAACGGGCCUUCGGGUGCCGCCGAGUGGCGAACGGGUGAGUAAUACAUCGGAACGUGCCCGAUCGUGGGGGAUAACGAGGCGAAAGCUUUGCUAAUACCGCAUACGAUCUACGGAUAAAAGCAGGGGACCGCAAGGCCUUGCGCGGACUGAGCGGCCGAUGGCAGAUUAGGUAGUUGGUGGGAUAAAAGCUUACCAAGGCGACGAUCUGUAGCUGGUCUGAGAGGAUGAUCAGCCACACUGGAACUGAGACACGGCCCAGACUCCUACGGGAGGCAGCAGUGGGGAAUUUUGGACAAUGGGCGCAAGCCUGAUCCAGCCAUGCCGCGUGCAGGAUGAAGGCCUUCGGGUUGUAAACUGCUUUUGUACGGAACGAAAAGCCUUCUUUUAAUACAGGAGGGUCAUGACGGUACCGUAAGAAUAAGCACCGGCUAACUACGUG
rnacentral:rRNA from 1 species